rnacentral:lncRNA from 1 species
GCCAAAGUGUUAAGUAUAAAUUGAUCCCAUGGUUUCUGAAUAGAUAAAAAAUUUAAAUAUAUAAAAAAUAUCACAGAUUAAAUUGUUUGCAUGAUUAACGUUAUGCAUUUAUGAUUAAAUUCAAAUAUUUUAUCUUUCAAAAAUUAAUUUAUAUGAUCUAACACUUUCACCUUCAAGAACAAAAAAUACAAUCUAUCCUUGUUUAUAGUUUAUAUCCUUUUGUAUCGGAAACCAAGUCAAGUGAAUACUAGUUUAUACCUUGAGGGCUGAGCUAGCUCCAAUGGCAGCAGAGAAGAAGGGGCACAUCGUGAUGGUACCCUUCAUGGCACAAGGCCACAUCAUCCCAUUCCUGGCACUAGCAAGGCAAAUCCAACAGAGAACAAAAAGCUUCACCAUCACCAUAGCCAGCCAACACUCCCCUCAACAUUCAAUACCUCCGAUCUGCACUUUCUUCUCCUAAUGAAAUCCAUCUUGCUGAGUUACCCUUCAACUCUACCCAACACGGUUUGCCAUCCAACAUAGAGAACACCGAGAAGCUCCCUUUCACUCACAUAGCCAAACUCUUUCUUUCAACACUCAGCCUUGAAGCUCCUCUUUGCUCCUUGAUAUCACAGAUCACAGAACAAGAGGGUCACCCUCCA